CGCUUCCAGUUAAACUUUUACAGGCGGACCGACGGGUCUUCAGUUCUUCAAUCGUCGGGCUCCGCAGUUUAUACGCGCUCGGCUCCCGAAUUCCUGGCAGCCUCCCGCACAAUUCAAAUUAUUCAAAACCAUCAGAAAUCAAAAUAAAUAAAUAAGUGAAGAAGAAAUAUUUUCAGGAAUUAUUCAAAUGAAAAUACCCACAUACAAAAAGGGGAAAAAUUGAAUCUGUUUGUGCUACUUGAAAUGAAUGAAAAAUUCAAUGCUAUUAGUGUGUGGAAAACAAAAAUAAAUAUUGGCAAAUAUUUGCAUGUGUCUACAUAAGUUUGAAUGGAAAAGUGCUCGAAAGUAAAUAGGCCGAAAGUCGAAACAAAAAAUAUCUUGGACUAACUUGUGCAGUUUUUCAUUACACAUAUAUUUCUCGGAUAUUUUCCAAUGCUUGUGCUAUUAUUAAAGUAAUUUGUGCGACACUUGCCACCUGUUUGACGACUUUUGGAAAACACACAAAAUUUAUGCAAACGACUUCGAGAAGAAAGCCGAUCCGAUCCACAACGAAAGUGAGAGUGUCGGGAGUCGUUGACCCAGUAUUGAACGAGCCCAGCCGACAAUCAGAAAGUCCACAAAACGAGAUUUAUUAAAAGAGAUACCAGCGAGUACAAGGCAUAAAAGUCAAUGACCACAUCAACUGGCGGCCGCAGGCAGCGCUUUUAUUAAGCACACGCCCCCACAUAAAUUAGUAAUCGAGCGACGAGGGGCCC